CUGGAUUUCCGCCAGCCCUUCCGGGCCUCUCUCUGGCCGCCGCUGGCUCGGCGAUGACAGCCUUCCUCUCCGCUGAGCCCUUUGGAAUGCCUGGAACUCGGUGGUGACAGUUCAGAGUUGCUCUUCCCCUGGAGGCCCCAGGGAGGAGGGAAGUUCUAAAUAAGAAUCCGGGGCUUGGGCCUUUCCUCUUGCCCUGUCUCUUCCUUUCCAGGGGACUUGGUGGACGCCAAGUGUGGAAACAGCCUCUCUGGGACACUUGGCCCACCCUGAUCGGCCUGCCUACUUCCUGGCCCAGCCCCUGCUCUGGGAUUAAGAAAAACAACAGUCUCUUCAUUUAGACCGCUCUGAAGUACAAAAGAUAAUCACUUACACACCCUUGCUACGAAUAUUCCCCCCGGCCGACCUGCCCCCCCCCCAAGUCCUCACAAUUCAGAUGAGAACCAUUAGCCCCAUUUUAAAGAAAAGGAAACUGAGGCUCAGUGAAAUGGGAGAUUUGUGCCCUGGCCACAGAACUAGUAAGUGUAUAGCAUUGUUUUCUUUUUUUUUUUUCCAAAUUUUUGUCUGUAUGUAUGUGUGUGUGUGUGUGUACACGCACACACCCAGUACGUGCUAAGUUGCUUCAGUCAGGCUACAGUCCAUGGGAUUCUCCAGGCAAGGAUACUGGAGUGGGUGGCCAUUUCCUUCUCCAGGGGAAUCUUCCCAACCCAGGAAUCAAACCCAGGUCUCCUGCAUUGUAGGCAGAUUCUUUACCAACUAAGCUGCAAGGAAAACCCUUUUUUUUAGUGAGGUAUAGUCAAUUUGCAGUAUAAUAUUAGUUUCAGGUGUGCAACACAGUGAUUCCGGAUUGUAUAGCUUAUACUCUGUGUAAAGUUAUUUUAGACUAUUGGCUGUUUUCUCUAUGCUGUAUAAAUAUAUCUCUAGUCAGGGCUGUGGUUUUCCCAGUGGUCAUGUAUGGAUGUGAGAGUUGGACUAUAGAGAAGGCUGAGCACUGAGGAAUUGAUGCUUUUGAACUGUGGUGUUGGAGAAGACUCUUGAGAGUCCCUUGGACUGCAAGGAGAUCCAACCAGUCCAUUCUGAAGGAGAUCAGUCCUGAAUAUUCAUUGGAAGGACUGCUGCUGAAGCUGAAACUCCAAUACCUUGGCCACCUGAUGUGGGGAGCUGACUCAUUUGAAAGGACCCAGAUGCCCCGGGAGGGGCGGG
ensembl:lncRNA